CAAGUAUUUCGCCUUAUCGCUGUCCCGAUAAAUCGGGAUGGAGGAAAGUCCGAACACCAUAGUGUAACAUAGUGGUUAACAGCCACCAGUCGUGAGAUUAGGAAAAGUGCAACAGAAAGUAUGUACAGGUAAUGCUGUAGUGAAACCAGGUAAACUCUAUGUGGUGCAAUGUCAUGUAAACUAAUGCUUGAGCGUACACGCGCGAUGUUAGAGGGUAGGCAGCUAAAGUGUAUUGGUAACAAUACACGUAGAUAAAUGAUAAGGACUCUUUUAGAGUACAAAAUUCGGCUUAUAGAUUUACUUUAUCU
rnacentral:RNase_P_RNA from 1 species